UUCCGGUUGAUCCUGCCGGAGGCCAUUGCUAUCGGAGUCCGAUUUAGCCAUGCUAGUCGCACGGGUUUAGACCCGUGGCGGAAAGCUCAGUAACACGUGGCCAAACUACCCUAUGGACGAGAAUAACCUCGGGAAACUGAGGCUAAUGCUCGAUACAGCUCCCAGACUGGAAUGUCGGGAGCUGAAAACGCUCCGGCGCCAUAGGAUGUGGCUGCGGCCGAUUAGGUAGACGGUGGGGUAACGGCCCACCGUGCCGAUAAUCGGUACGGGUUGUGAGAGCAAGAGCCCGGAGACGGAAUCUGAGACAAGAUUCCGGGCCCUACGGGGCGCAGCAGGCGCGAAACCUUUACACUGCACGCCAGUGCGAUAAGGGGACUCCGAGUGCGAGGGCAUAUAGUCCUCGCUUUUCUGUACCGUAGGGUGGUACAGGAACAAGUGCUGGGCAAGACCGGUGCCAGCCGCCGCGGUAAUACCGGCAGCACGAGUGAUGGCCGCUAUUAUUGGGCCUAAAGCGUCCGUAGCCGGCCAGACAAGUCCGUUGGGAAAUCGACGCGCUCAACGCGUCGGCGUCCAGCGGAAACUGUCUGGCUUGGGGCCGGAAGACCUGAGGGGUACGUCCGGGGUAGGAGUGAAAUCCCGUAAUCCUGGACGGACCACCGGUGGCGAAAGCGCCUCAGGAAGACGGACCCGACGGUGAGGGACGAAAGCUAGGGUCUCGAACCGGAUUAGAUACCCGGGUAGUCCUAGCUGUAAACGAUGCUCGCUAGGUGUGGCGCAGGCUACGAGCCUGCGCUGUGCCGUAGGGAAGCCGUGAAGCGAGCCGCCUGGGAAGUACGUCUGCAAGGAUGAAACUUAAAGGAAUUGGCGGGGGAGCACUACAACCGGAGGAGCCUGCGGUUUAAUUGGAUUCAACGCCGGA
rnacentral:rRNA from 1 species